rnacentral:lncRNA from 1 species
UUUAAUUACCACACUUUUGUCAUUCCUGCCAUCCUUUUAAGUUAGCGACGGAAAUCAGUCGCUAAUUUUAACCCAUUAUAAAUCACUUCUCUCCCUUUAUCCCUUCAUUUUAUCUCUACUACAUAUUCUCUAUUUCUUUCUAUCUCUCCAUACUUAUUAUCACUAUCAUUUUUUUCUUUCCUUUCUUUUUUAUCUUUCUUUUUCUCUAUUUUUAUAUUCUUGCAUUCCUUUUUUUCUUCUUUCCUUUCUUUUUUUCAUUCUUAUUCUCUCUAUA